rnacentral:sRNA from 1 species
CAUUAAGUGAAAUGAUAUCAGUGAUUUAGCGCAGGCUCUGUAGGAGCCCUUCCCCUAGGCCUAAAACAGGAUCGGUUUUAGGCCGUUUUUU